rnacentral:rRNA from 1 species
CCUGGCUCACACCGGUUUAAACUCAGAUCAUGUAAAAUUUCAAAGGUCGAACAGACCUAAUUUAUUAGCUUCUUCACCAAUAAUUUAUUUUAAUCCAACAUCGAGGUCGCAAUCUUUUUUUUCGAUAAGAACUCUAAAAAAAAUUACGCUGUUAUCCCUAAGGUAAUUUAAUCUUAUAAUCUUUAUAAAAGGAUCAAAUAUUCACAAAUUAAUGAUCUACUUAAAAAAAGUUCUUUUAAUUUU